rnacentral:lncRNA from 1 species
GCUUGUAAGGCUCUCAUCCCAUGGUGUCUUAAGGGUGCCUCCUAGCUCCUAAUGGGGCCCAGGCACGUUAGUGACAACCACACAGAGCUGGUGGAAGGCUAGGAGGUCUCAAGGCAUCCAAUGUGGAACUUGCAGUAUUGGUUUGUCAAGAGAUGAAACUACACCAGUUCAUUUAAGAGAGAACGUUUAUUAUGAAUAAUUAUUUACUAGGUAUAAAAGAACUGAAAAGGAAAAAGGGUAUAAACACGGAGGGAGGACUUAUCACUCUUCAGUCUUGGGGGCAAGAGAAGGGAGACAAAAACUGAAAAGAGAAGGAUGAUUAAAAUUGAGAAGCUUAGAGGAAGGGGCACUGCUCAACUGGUGCUGGUGUCUCUGAGCUCGGAGGCGCUGCCCCAUGGACCCAGGACCCACAUCUCUGAGAAGGGUGUGCCGCUGGCCGGUGCUGGUGUCUCUGAGGCAGCGUGACGAGGCUGGUUCUCCAAGUGCUGGAAGCGCUGCAAACUGGAUUCAGCUGCAGCUAUUGCAGGUUCCACUUCUUCCUCCACCAUCUGCUAGGAGUGCGAAGUAGGGGUUGUCUGAAGAGAUUUGAGUCCUGGGCUGAAAGGGGCUGAGGAUCUGGGCUGAGCUGGAGAAGCCGGAGAAGGUAUAAAACUACUCAUCUCCCUCUGAGCCAUCACAGCUGAUUGUAUGAAGCUUGGCCAGGACUCAAGGAAAACCAAUCUAUAGAUGUGACAGCAGCCUAUGAGGUCGGGGCCAGGUGCUUGCUGAAGGAAGUAGGGUCGACAGGAUCAACCACAUCUUUGACAGAACAGGAUCCAAAGGGGAGCGAACUCUUAUUCCUGCAUACUUUGUCUGACCUGGCAAUACCUGUGGGGGCUUUGGCAGAUCUAAGCUAUUAAAGGGAAGAGAACAAGGGCUCCACUUUUGGAGUCAAAUUGUCUGGUUGGGAUCGCAGGUCCAUCAAAUGGCCAUUCACCUGGCUCCUUUAAACCCUAUUUUCUGUAUUAUACCAUGUGGCUAAUAAUAACACCUAUUUUAUUGUUGUUACAAGGAUUAAAUGAAACUAUCAGUAUAGAAGCAGUUUUCAGAGUA